rnacentral:tRNA from 1 species
UCUCUGGUAGUAUAUCGGAUAGUACACCCGCCUGUCAUGUAAGAAACACGACCGCGGGAAAGCGGGGUUCGAUUCCCCGCCAGAGAG